UUCCUUGUCGUGUAGUUAAUUAAUAAAUGACACGAUACGGAAACGGACAUGUGAUAAAUACGUAUUCGCUGUUAUACUCGAUAAUUAACGGCUCUACAUUUCUUAUUCGAAACAGCUCAAAACUAUUGGUUUUAAACUUGUUUUUCUUCAUUCAUUGAAAUAGGAAUAUAAUGAAUCACUAUUAUAAAUAUACAAUAUAAUAAAAAAGAGAAAUAUUGGAUUAAAAACGGCAAAUUAUUGUUAUAAUCGUCUUCCCUAUUCAAAUUAAAAACUUUUCAACAAUUAAAUAAAUAAAAAGUUUUUUGACACGUU
rnacentral:lncRNA from 1 species